rnacentral:rRNA from 1 species
UACGUAGGUGGCAAGCGUUUGUCCGGAAUUAUUGGGCGUAAAGCGCACGUAGGCGGUUUGUUAAGUCGGAUGUGAAAUCCCUCGGCUCAACUGAGGAAGUGCAUCCGAAACUGGCAGGCUUGAGUACUAAAGAGGGUCGCGGAAUUCCCGGUGUAGAGGUGAAAUUCGUAGAUAUCGGGAGGAACACCGGUGGCGAAGGCGGCUUUCUGGCCCGUUCUUGACGCUGAGGAGCGAAAGUGUGGGGAGCGAACAGG